UGAAUGUUUAGAGUACUCUUGCGGCCAGUUGGUGACUAUUUUUUCCAUUUCUCUCUUGUCAUGUCUUCUCAGCAUCAUUCCAGUGGGUGAGACCUAUUUCUGUUCCUCCGAGAAGGAAAGAGAAAAAAAGAACAUCACCCCCUGGCUGGAAAGCAUCUCAUGAGACAGGACUCAAACAAGGACCAUUGUACCAAAGCAGCCUGCUAUUCUUCUGAUGAUUCUCAAUGGAAUAUCUGGAGGGUGUGUCAACACAAGAAGCCAAUGGAGAACAAGAUCUUUGAAGGUGACAGGUUUGUUGAGGGAUUCAUAAGAAACAAGCUCUGACAAUAAUUCAGAUCAAGGCAGGAGCAGCAGUGUCAAGGAGACCAUGCAAAGGCUACUGUGACUCAUCAGGGAAGACAGGAGCUCCCGAAUCGAGUCAGUGGGGACAGAAAUUAAAGACUGUUGAAGACAUUUGUUUCACUGUAACUCAAUGGUCUACUGUGAAAUCUCAUGUGUCCUAUUCUACUAAAGAUAAAUUUUAUUCUCUUCCUGGCUUAUAAAGUUGCAUCUGGUAUAGCUCCUUCUUGUUUUGCAACUUCAUUUCCUAAUGGCAUUUCUUGACCCCCUUUCUGCUGAGCACCAACCACAGGAAACUUAUCUUGAAACACAAGAUCAUUACACCUUCAGACACAGUGCUUGCUGGCGGCUUUGACUUCAUUUAGGUUUCAUUUGAAAUACCAGCUCCAUGAACACUUUUUUUUUCCUGUUAACAAUCUGGCCAACAUAUGAUUCCAUUCUACUUAGCAAUACAACUAAGAUUAUUUGUUCAGUUACUUAUUGCCUUCCAGUUUAAGUAUCACUGGAAUGUCAACCUUAUAAGAAUACCUUGACUAUCACACUCCCUAAGGAGUUCCAAUGCUUAGAGCAGAGUCUAAUACAAGUAAUUUCAAGUGUCUAGGUAGAGAGAUUCUGGAAGUAUUAAAUAUUUUAUUCCCCCCCCCCCCACAGUGACAAAGGUUACUGGUAACAAAUUAUAAAAAUAUAUUACUG